rnacentral:rRNA from 1 species
AACGUAGGACGCAAGCGUUAUCCGGAGUUACUGGGCGUAAGGCGCGGGCAGGCGGUCUUGCCAGUCUGAUGUGAAAUCUCUCAGCUCAACUGGGAGCAGCCAUUGGAAACUACAAGACUGGAGUCUGGCAGAGGUAGGCGGAAUUCCGGGUGGAGUGGUGAAAUGCGUAGAGAUCCGGAGGAACACCAGAGGCGAAGGCGGCCUACUGGGCCAGUACUGACGCUGAGCCGCGAAAGCCAGGGGAGCGAACGGG